UACGGGGGGAGCAAGCGUUGUUCGGAUUUACUGGGCGUAAAGGGCGCGUAGGCGGCGCGACAAGUCACUUGUGAAAUCUCUGAGCUCAACUCAGAACGGUCAAGUGAUACUGUCGUGCUAGAGUGCGGAAGGGGCAACUGGAAUUCUUGGUGUAGCGGUGAAAUGCGUAGAUAUCAAGAGGAACACCUGCGGCGAAGGCGGGUUGCUGGGCCGACACUGACGCUGAGGCGCGAAAGCUAGGGGAGCGAACGGG
rnacentral:rRNA from 1 species